UCUGCCAGUGUGACACUGUCCUUUCCAUGUCACAGUGCUCUCACCACCGUGCAUGACAGACUGCCUAUAGGGCUCCUUUAAGGAUGCUUUGCCAAGUACCAAAAGAACAACAGUUCAGUUUCUCGUUUUGGAAGAACAGUCCCCCCCAUUUUUCCCUCCCCUGGGGCCGAGGGUCUCAAGAACAGAGAUCUUCUUCUCCACUCCUGCACUUGCAUCUACUGAAGCAGGAUGUUCCUGGUCUGGGGACUGUGUGCAGGGGCACAGUACUUGGUAUUUUCAAAAGAAACUCUGCGGUCAGAGCCUGGCUGUUUACCCUGGGGGUAGCACAAGGAAGAGGAGGCAGUUGCUCCCUGCUCCACUUGCUGGCUAUUAAGUAAACUGAGCAGAAAGAGUUUGAUAAUAAGUGGGAGGCAGGUAUGUGGCACCAAGGAGCUAGGUUUAUGGUUGGCUUUCUGAGCAUUUUAAAAUACACUGUGAAAUUGA